UCGCCUCUUGUUUACUUCACAUAAGAGGUCCCGCCUGCCCUGUGACCCCUGGUUUAACGGCCGCGGUAUUUUGACCGUGCAAAGGUAGCGCAAUCACUUGCCCCUUAAAUGAGGGCCCGUAUGAAUGGCACAACGAGGGCUUAACUGUCUCCUUUUCCCAACCAAUGAAAUUGAUCUUCCCGUGCAGAAGCGGGAAUACCAACAUAAGACGAGAAGACCCUAUGGAGCUUUAGACACCAGAACAGACCAUGUUGACUACCCCCUAAAAUAGGUAAUAAUUAUUGAACCCUGUUCCCCGUCUUUGGUUGGGGCGACCACGGGGAACAAGAAAACCCCCACGUGGACUGAGAGCACACCACUCCUACAACUACGAGCCACAGCUCUAAACUACAGAAUUUCUGACCAAAAAGAUCCGGCAAUGCCGAUCAACGGACCCAGUUACCCUAGGGAUAACAGCGCAAUCCUCUUUAAGAGUCCAUAUCGACAAGAGGGUUUACGACCUCGAUGUUGGAUCAAGACAUCCUAAUGGUGCAACCGCUAUUAAGGGUUCGUUUGUUCAACGAUUAAAGUCUUACGUGAUCUG
rnacentral:rRNA from 1 species